UGGCGGACGGGUGAGUAACGCGUGGGUAACCUGCCUCAUACAGGGGGAUAACAGUUAGAAAUGACUGCUAAUACCGCAUAAGACCACAGAGCCGCAUGGCUCGGUGGGAAAAACUCCGGUGGUAUGAGAUGGACCCGCGUCUGAUUAGGUAGUUGGUGGGGUAACGGCCUACCAAGCCAACGAUCAGUAGCCGACCUGAGAGGGUGACCGGCCACAUUGGGACUGAGACACGGCCCAAACUCCUACGGGAGGCAGCAGUGGGGAAUAUUGCACAAUGGGGGAAACCCUGAUGCAGCGACGCCGCGUGAGCGAAGAAGUAUUUCGGUAUGUAAAGCUCUAUCAGCAGGGAAGAAAAUGACGGUACCUGACUAAGAAGCACCGGCUAAAUACGUGCCAGCAGCCGCGGUAAUACGUAUGGUGCAAGCGUUAUCCGGAUUUACUGGGUGUAAAGGGAGCGUA
rnacentral:rRNA from 1 species